GGACGUCAGCUCUUGCAAGCCUAGAUUUUGUCAGCAUCCCGCGCAGAUCUGGGGUUGGAGAGGACGCGGGCCUUAAGUAAACUAGACGCUAAGUGAGCAGCAAGGAGGGACACUCGCUCCCGCAGGCGUCCACUCUGCAUAGGGAGAUGGGGCAGGGGCGAUGCUUGUGAGGACGGACACUGCAGGCUUCGGAGUAUGAUGCUUUCUUUCCUGGAGGAACCUGCCUUGUUUCUUACUGCGUUCAGCUCAGUUAUCCCAUUACCUUUCUGAAGAUUGGCUGUUCAGGUCACUUUGGACUCGACCAAAUGUCGGUGUUUCUUUCAUAAACCAUUUUUUAGGAUGAUCUAAUCGAUAGCAGAGCUUACUUAUUUGAACUCGAUUCUUUAUUUGGGGGUUUUAUUAACGGCAAUUGGGAUGUGGCUUACAUAGCAUAAAGUUCACCUGUUUUAAGGGUACAAUGAAUGAUUAUUAGCAUCUUUACAUAGUUGUACAACCAUCACUAUAAUGGAAUUAAGGACUGGCGAUUUUCCUGGUAAUUGCUCUCACUAGUCUCAAGUUUGCACAAGUGGGCAUUUAAAGGUACAGUGUAACAUAGGAGACUCUGAAGAUGUACACUCAAGUUCUUGUACAUGAGUAGAUGAAAUUAGGAGAAUUGAAGCAUAUCUUUUCCUAGAUGUUGCAGUGAUGAAACUUGUGUAUUGCAAUCCAAAGUUAUUGUAUCAACGGUCUCAUUUUUUGAAGAGUAUGGCAUAAAUCCCAUUUUACAGAUGAGGAAAUUGAUUUUGAAGGAUAAAUUGCCUAAAGCAUCAUAGCGGUGCCUAGACUAAACCCCUGUCCUAGAUGCUUUAUCUCCAAAUUUAUUGCCUUUGCCACUUCAGCCUGAUUUUCAAUUAAAUGUAUGUAUGACCUGUACAACUCAUUCAUUUAUUGAGCGAAUAAUUAUUGAGUGAUCGGUAUGCCAGCAACAACAUAAAACUGCUCUACAUGCUAGAGAUACUGUAGUGAACCAGCUAAAUUCCUACCCUCAGUUAAUAUUCUGGUAGAGUACACAACGAUCAAUUAAAGAAACACUAAUAUUAGAUAUUGAGACAUGGCAUUUUUUAAAAAGGCAAACUAAGAGUACAGGGAAUGGAAAAUUUCAUCAAAAUUGAUAUAGUUUUAGAAGAAAGAUAUUAGCGUAUGGAUAUGAAAGAUAACUGCUACAGCCUGAAAUUUGUCCCCUGCCCACAUUCAAAUAUUAAAGCUUUGUAAUGGUAUUUGGUGGUGGGACUGUUGGGAGGUGAUUAGGUUUAGAUGAGGUCUCAAGGGUGGGACCCCUGUGAUGGGAUUAGUGUUCUUAGAAGAGGAAGACAGACCUGAGCUCUCUUCUCUCUGCCACUUGAGGGCGUUGCAACCUGUGAAACAGGUGCUCACCAGGAACUGAAUGGACUGGCACCUUGAAGAUGGACUUCCCAGCCUCCAGAACUGGGAGAAAUAAAUGUUUGGUGUUUAAGCUACAGUUAAGCUAAGUUAGUCUUGAAGCAGACUCCCCACUGAGUGGGGAGCCUACAUGGGCCUUUCCCACAACCCAUGAGAUCAUGACUUGAGCUGAAACCAAGAGUUGGAUGCUCAAUGUACUGAGCCACCCAGGUGCCCCGACCACAAGUUGUUUCCUACUGUUUGCUUCAAAGGGUGUUGGCAAAUAUCCCUGCUCUUGACUGUGUGCUGGACUUAAUGACUUGCUUUUACUAAGUAGAACAUGGCAGAAGUGGAGGGAUGUCGGUAGAUCAUGAAGGCAUCAUGACUUCUCCUUGCUCCCUCUUUUGGAUCAUUCAUUUGGGUAAACCAGCGGCCCUUUCAUGAGGACACAGCGAGCAGUGCUUUGGAAAGUCCUGUCUGUCAAGGAACAGAGGCCUGCUCCCAACAGCCAGUGAGGAACUUGGGCCUUCUGCAGUUUUGUUAGCCCCAGAGCCCCAUGUGUGUUUGGGUUCCACUCUUUCUUUGCCGUCCUUUGCUUGGAGAAGAGAGAAAUCCUGGAUGGCAGUGUCAAGCACCCUAGAGCCAUUCAAAUUUCUCUUCAAGUUCUGAACAAAUGCUGGACCAUGAUAUACGAGAAAUAGCUGAACAUCCAUGCUUGCUUAACCAGCCCGUACGAUCGCAUAAGCCCAUUCCUUGCAACAAAUCCCUUUGGUUCCGAUUCUCCUCUUGAAUGCUGGUUGACGCACAGUGAUGAAGAGAAAUGAGAAGCUAGAAAAGAAGAAAAUAUUUUAUGCCUGAAGAAAUAAAGGGUGUUCACAUUCCUGCCAGUGACCUCUAGGGGCGAGUUUCUUUGCUAGCUCACAAGAGAAUUGCUUCAAUCACAGCUGGGGCUCAGGAUAGGAACAUAGACUCUUCUGUUGUUUGAUUUCAAAUGGAU